CUACGUAGGGCAGCAGUGUCGUUCGAUUUGUGCGUAAAGAGCUCGUAGGUGGUUCGGUAAGUCAGGUGUGAACCUCCAGGCUCAACCUGGAGACGCCACUUGAUACUGCUGUGACUGGAGUCCGGUAGGGAGGCGUGGAAUCCUGGUGUAGCGGUGAAAUGCGCAGAUAUCAGGAGGAACACCAGCGGCGAAGGCGGCGCUCUGGGCCGGUACUGACACUGGAGGAGCG
rnacentral:rRNA from 1 species